CUCUAUUUCCUGGGCUCACCAUGGUCCAUCAGGGACGUCUAUCCUAAUCGGACGGCCCGCGGCGCAACUGGUCCUUACCGCCGCGUUCGCCUCCUUUUUUCCACUCACUUGGAUCGACGGCCUCGAACACUUCCCUCCCACGACUCCGCUCCGCCGCCACCGCCGCUCGCCGGGGCACAUCGCCACAGCCUCCCCCCUUCCCCUCACCCCCUGCCGUCGAAACCAAACUCCAUCCGCAAGCUCCAUUCGACAUAGGCCCGCCGCUCCGGGAUCAGUACUCUCCCCUUGGCGAAUGGAGAUGGAAGCAGCGGUUGCUCCACCCGCUUCGGGACUGCGCCGCUCGCUCAACAUCAACCCCGCGCGUGCCACGCGACCGGCCGCAAAACAUAGGCCGAGCCUUGCGGCGAGGCACCAGGCCAACGCCGUCAGGUGCGAGCUGCCCCGCCGCCCGGAGGCGCGCCUGCGCCACCGCGCGAGCGCAGCGGCGCAACGGGAUGGUGGUGACGCGGAGGCCGGGAGGAGGAAGCGGCUGGCGGUGUUCGUAUCCGGCGGGGGCUCCAACUUCCGGGCGAUUCACGAGGCCGCGCUGAGCGGGGCGGUGCACGGGGAUGUCGUCGCGCUUGUCACCGACAAGCCAGGUUGCGGAGGCGCGGAGCACGCCAGGAGCAAUGGCGUUCCUGUGGUCGUGUUCCCGAAGUCGAAGUCUGCGCCGGAGGGGAUUUCGGUAGCUGAACUGAUCAAUACCUUGAGGGAAUAUGAAGUUGACUUCGUUCUUCUUGCUGGUUACUUGAAACUUAUACCUACUGAACUGGUUCAGAAAUAUCCAAGAUCCAUAUUAAACAUCCAUCCUUCUCUCCUUCCGGCAUUUGGAGGCAAAGGUUAUUACGGUUUGAAGGUGCAUAAAGCAGUCAUUGCCUCUGGAGCAAGAUACUCGGGCCCAACUGUACACUUUGUGGAUGAGCACUACGAUACAGGGAGAACUUUAGCCCAGAGGGUUGUGCCUGUGUUAACCAAUGACACACCAGAGUUACUGGCUGCAAGAAUCCUUCAUGAGGAGCAUAAAGUCUAUGUUGAAGCAGUUGCUGCUCUGUGUGAGGACCGCAUUGUGUGGCGGGAAGAUGGCGUCCCGCUUAUCAAAAGCCAGACAAAUCCUGAUGAGUAUAUCUAAUUGACAAUACUAGCACUCUUUUGGAGUGAUAAAUGGAAUUUGUAAAGCUCCUGCCAGUUUUUCCCAAGGAAAAGGGGUACUUAACAUAGGCUGAUAUUAUCAUCAACAUGUGUUGGAAGUGGGAAACAGUGUUCAAUGAACUGCACUAUGCAUAGGCCACGAUUUUGCUCCUGACGAUUCCUUCUGGUUUCUACAAGAAAAUUCAUGAACGUACAUUGAAGCACAUUCCGGUUCUUUCCGAAGUCAUAAAGCAAGCUGUGGAUAAGGACUCACAAGAGAGAAAUACAUUCCUACACGGGCAUUGCGUUAGGUUAUUUGGUCAUUUCGGCUAUUGUCAUUCUGUGUGAUCAUUGUCUAGGCCCAAGUGACCGGAUACAUAGACAGCACGCAGUUGCAGC